rnacentral:rRNA from 1 species
AUGGCUAGAGCUGCACUGCUUCCUGUCGCGCUGCUGCUGUGCCUUGCGCUGGCCGCCGGCGCCAAUGCCGAGCGGAAGCCGGUCGGUUUCUACGGGCUCAAGAACAAGAAGGGGGAUUUCUCCAUCAAGGUCACCAACUGGGGAGCCACCCUCGUCUCCGUCCUCGUCCCUGAUGGCCAAGGAAACUUGGCUGAUGUUGUCCUCGGGUACGACACCCUUCGUGGAUAUGUUAAUGGCACCGGCUCAUUCGGGGCCACGGUCGGGCGCGUGGUGAACAGAAUCGCCAAAUCCCGCUUCGUGCUCGACGGGAAAGCCUACCGUCUCUUCCGUAACGACGGCAAUAACUCCAUUCACGGCGGGCACAGGGGGUUCGGCAAGGUCAUAUGGACCGUCAAGGAGUACGUGCGCGGCGGUGACACCCCGUACAUCACCUUCUUCUACCACAGCUUCGACGGAGAGCAAGGAUUCCCGGGCGACCUGGACGUGUACGUGACGUACCAGCUCUCCGGCCCCUACGAGCUCAGCAUCCGCAUGAACGCCACGGCGGCGACCAAGGCGACGCCGGUGAACCUCGCGAACCACGCGUACUGGAACCUCGCCGGCCACGGCAGCGGCGACGUCCUGGAGCACGAGCUCCAGCUGCUCGCGUCGCGCUACACGCCGCUCGACGACACCAAGAUCCCGACGGGCCAGGUGGCGCCCGUGGCCGGCACCAUGUACGACUUCCGCGCGCCGACGCCCGUGGGCGCGCACAUGGAGGUCGUCGCCGGCGGCGGCGGCGGGUACGACAUAAACUUCGUCGUGGACGGGAAGCAGGACGCGAUGCGGAAGGUCGCGUUCGUCCGGGACCCGGAGUCGGGGCGGGCGCUGGAGCUGUGGGCGAACCAGCCCGGGGUGCAGCUCUACACCUCCAACUGGGUCAGCAACGAGAAGGGCAAGGCCGGGAAGGUGUACGAGCAGUACGGCGCGCUGUGCCUGGAGACGCAGGCGUACCCCGACGCCGUCAACCACCCGGAGUUCCCGUCGUCGAUCGUGAGGCCCGGCCAGGUGUACAAGCACGACGUGCUCUUCAAGUUCUCCAAUUAG